rnacentral:rRNA from 1 species
CAGUAGCCGCGGUAAGACAGAGGAUGCGAGCGUUAAUCGGAUUUACUGGGCGUAAAGCGUGCGUAGGCGGCUUCUUAAGUCGGAUGUGAAAUCCCUGAGCUUAACUUAGGAAUUGCAUUCGAUACUGGGAAGCUAGAGUAUGGGAGAGGAUGGUAGAAUUCCAGGUGUAGCGGUGAAAUGCGUAGAGAUCUGGAGGAAUACCGAUGGCGAAGGCAGCCAUCUGGCCUAAUACUGACGCUGAGGUACGAAAGCAUGGGGAGCAAACAGGAUUAGAUACCCGGGUAGUCCCUGUCUCUUAUAC